GAGAAAAUCAAGGAAUAAUUGUUGCAAAUUCAAAAUGGGAAUGUGACCAGAAUAUAAGUCAUGUGGUUGGUUAAUAGUUACCACACUGGUGUACCAAAUAAACUGGCAACAAUAUGUAUUUUAACAAAAAAGUCUGAAAUGUGAACAAACAACCGGCUUACGGUCUUACUUUCUAAUGACAUCAAACAAAUGCUUGACAAUAGAGGGCCAGUAAGUUAAUUAUACGGCAUCUGUCUGCGAAGUUUAGUUAAUUAUUUAGUUAUUUGCUGGGGGAGGGAGAUUCACAGUGGCAUAGUGGGUACUCAGUUCGAUACUGAGCUCUAGAUACGGUCAGUGUGGAGUUUCACAUGUUCUCCCCGUGUCUCUGUGGGUUUCCAACCCUCCCAGAAACAGGCCUGUGGAUAGAUUGACUGCGCUAAAUCGCCCCUAGAUGUGUACGAGUGUGUGAAUGUGUGUUUUGAUAGACCGGCAUCCCCUUCAGGGUGUAUUCCCUCCUCACACCCAGUGUUCCCAGGAUUGGUUCCGGAUUCAGCAUGACCAGGAUAAAUGAAUGAAUCCAGGUCAUGCAGGUUUAAGGUUUGAAAUAUCCAGUCCUGUGCUUUUACAUAAAUGAGGGAUAUUUAUUACAGUUUAUGUGGAUCAAACUGUGUACAUGCACUAGUGUAAAACCUACUGAACACUUUUUUUCCCCUUUUUUCUUUUGCUUGUGUUACUCAGGGCGCCCCCUUGUGAAGGAUCUUCAGUGAGUGGGCAGAAAAUGUCUGGACUACCAUUCACUGGAUAUUGUCAUAUAUCAAGGAGGUAACUCUGGACUCCAGUUCCCAUCAGCCACUGCACUGUACUACAUGUCACAUGAACACUUGCACCUGAAUCACGUUUCUGUUAAAUGAGUACACUUGUGUAUAUAUAGCCAUUUUCUGGACUGUUUCUCUGUCUUUCGACUUCCGUGUUCCAUGUUACCAUGUUUCUUGAUCUGGUUAGUUUAUGUUUAGAUUUGCCACAGUAUUAUGCCAAGUUGUUUUAGUGUCUUUGUUUUGUUGUUCGUUUGUUCAAUAAACUUUAUAAAUUCUG